GACUAGGCCACUCAUCCACACAGUUAUUCUCAUCCGUCACCAGUAUCGGCGACCAUCAUUUAUCCUUCUAUCUCUCGACCCCUAGUUGGCCACUCACACACACCAGUACUGUUUUCUUUCGUCACCAACAUCGGCGACUCAACACCUUACCCGUCGGAGACCCCCAAAUAUCACCACUAUUGGCGGUCGACUUACUCUUUCUAAAUAGUGACAACCAAUAUCGGCGUCCCCAACUCAACCACCUCAAAGAUAAUUUCACCCCGUUCCUACUCAAGAUGCCUAGUAAACUCGCAUACUUAACCCCCACUACGAGUAUUCUAAUCUAAAAUGUUCCUACACCAACAACAUUGUCCUGAAACUCUCCAAUUCUUUAACAUAUGUACAGAACCUACACACACCUCCCCAU
rnacentral:lncRNA from 1 species